GAGAAAAGAGAAAUCACAGCAUCUACAAGAUUAUCGGAACAAAGAAACUUUGCAAGAGGCAGAGAGAUUGCCUGAGCCUGAUGUGUAUGCAUUCAAUGAUAAUGAUGAUGGCCGUGACUUUCAAAUAACACUAGUUCAGAAUAUACUUCACGAGGAAUCGGCACAGGAACAUCUGGAGAAUAUUCUUGGCGUGGAAUGUCCAGAGCUUCCAGUGAUAUCUUACAAAGGAAGAGCAUCAAGAAUAGGUAGAAAGACUCUUCAAUCAAGUUCAAAUAUUAGAAGCUUCAAGAAUAAAGCACCUGAAAAGGUA